rnacentral:rRNA from 1 species
GAUGAGCGCUGGCGGCGUGCCUAAUACAUGCAAGUCGAGCGAACAGACGAGGAGCUUACUCCUCUGACGUUAGCGGCGGACGGGUGAGUAACACGUGGAUAACCUACCUAUAAGACUGGGAUAACUUCGGGAAACCGGAGCUAAUACCGGAUAACAUGUUGAACCGCAUGGUUCAACAGUGAAAGACGGUCUUGCUGUCACUUAUAGAUGGAUCCGCGUCGCAUUAGCUAGUUGGUAAGGUAACGGCUUACCAAGGCAACGAUGCGUAGCCGACCUGAGAGGGUGAUCGGCCACACUGGAACUGAGACACGGUCCAGACUCCUACGGGAGGCAGCAGUAGGGAAUCUUCCGCAAUGGGCGAAAGCCUGACGGAGCAACGCCGCGUGAGUGAAGAAGGUCUUCGGAUCGUAAAACUCUGUUAUUAGGGAAGAACAAAUGUGUAAGCAACUAUGCACGUCUUGACGGUACCUAAUCAGAAAGCCACGGCUAACUACGU